AGAGAACCAUCAUUAUAAUGUUUAUUAUUCUCUCUCAUUGUUCUCUAGUCGCAAAGUUGCCUUCUCCUUCUCCUUCCCUUUCCCUUUCACAUGAAGGGGAAAAAAAUCAUAAAACGUUCCAAGUUACAUAAAAUAGCCCAAAAGCCGAGGAACAUAAUAUAUUAUUCAGAAAACCCAAUACAAACGAGACACCUAAACCUCAUAAAAUUGAGGCAUAAGACUUCACAGAUGGAACUAAAGGCAUAAGCUUCAAGGCAUUUAGCGUCUGUUCGAUCCCCAUUUUAAUGAGAUUUGUCCAAAUUUUUUUAGCUGCAACCGCGGGACCCCCUUGUCAUUCACUGCCGAUUUAUGUCAAUUUUAAGAAAAGAGUGUUGACUCUACAAGGUUGAUGGCAGUAAUUAUUUUCCAACUUGCAAAUUACCAUUCAAUUCAUUGUAUUGCCAUUUACCAUAAGGUAAUAAUUGAGAGGGUCAUUUUGUUAAAUGGAAGAUGAGGAAUUGGGGUAUUUUGCACCAUCUCCUUUUCAACAGCUUUUUUUUCCAUUCUAAAUGCAAUGACAUAUGAACAGGGAAAUUUCAUUUUUAAAGUUAGGAGUCUAGUGUUGUAAAAUGCAAAUCUCGUUGAAAUUUGAUUUUAAUGAGUUCCAAACAGGGGCUUAGUUUGGUAGAGCUUUUGCUUUUUGUUAAGAGCUUUCUAAAGAAAUUAUCUUAGACCAAUUUCUCUAAACACUCUUCUAGUCAAACAAAGCACUUCUAGAAAAUUAUUUCGAACUAGUUUCUUAGUCACAAAAACACAUUUUGACCUUUUCAAGGCCCUACCAAAUGGGCCCUUAACAGAAGUGUAAGCCUCGAGAAGCUUAGUAAGACCCUGUUUGGUGGCCAUUUUCUUUGGAAAAGCAUUGUUUUGAAUAUUAAAUUCUUGGAGAAUACGUGAUUAGAAAGUAGGAAAAAGUUUAGAAUCUACGUGUAAAAUAUUUUCUUUUAUGUGAAUGUGUUGUUGAAAAUGAGUUACAUAAAAAAAAAAAAAAAAAAGUUUUUGAAAGAAUGGAAGACAAACAGGGGCUAAGAAUGUUCAUCUGUGCGGAAGUUUCAAAAAAGAGUGUUUUCGGAAUUGAAAAAUUGUCUAAGGGAUUAUACUCCAUUACCAGUCGUUUUUCACUACAGAUUUUCAGAUCCCAGCAUAUAUCCUUAUGUAGCAACAAAAAUUUCUGAAAUUGUAUGAUACACUUAACAACAUCAGUCUGUAAAUUUUAUUUUUCUUCAGCUCAUUAUAACAAAAUCAAACCACUAAAAAGAAACUUGCCUAAAUUGUAUAAUUCACCAACAAAAAAGAGUAAAGAAUCCAAUCUAGCAUUUAUCUCGCUUAUUUCAAGAACAAACGCAUUCAAAAACAAAAUGAAGAAAGUUAACCUAACUAAACAACAUCAAUUGGCAGCUUUUCCUUUGGUUCUUCUACUAGUAAUUCAGUUUAUUUUUUUCUGAAAAGUAGUAUAGGCUUAGUAAUUGGGUAUUUAUAUAUACAUACAAUGCAUGCAUAUGAUGAUGAGCUAAAUUAAAUUGGAAGUAGAACAGAGGAGUACUCGCCUUUCCAUCAAUGGCCGGCGACGGGAAGCGAAAUCUGGAAAAUGUAAAUCAAAUUUCAGCACAGAGAAGCCCUAGGAGAAAAUGGCUGGAGUUCGGUGCUAUGAAAACAGGC
rnacentral:lncRNA from 1 species